rnacentral:rRNA from 1 species
UGGGUAGUCCGCACGAGCGCACCCUAUCCUUAGUUGCUAGCAGGUAAUGCUGAGAACUCUAAGGAGACUGCCGGUGAUAAACCGGAGGAAGGUGGGGACGACGUCAAGUCAUCAUGGCCCUUACGUGUAGGGCUACACACGUGCUACAAUGGCGCAUACAGAGUGCUGCAAACUCGCGAGAGUAAGCGAAUCACUUAAAGUGCGUCGUAGUCCGGAUUGGAGUCUGCAACUCGACUCCGUGAAGUCGGAAUCGCCAGUAAUCGCGUAUCAGAAUGACGCGGUGAAUACGUUCCCGGGCCUUGUACACACCGCCCGUCACACCAUGGGAGUGGGUUGCUCCAGAAGUAGAUAGUCUAACCCUCGGGAGGACGUUUACCACGGAGUGAUUCAUGACUGGGGUGAAGUCGUAACAAGGUAGCCCUAGGGGAACCUGGGGCUGGAUCACCUCCUU